CUGUCGGCGUGCGUAUCAUGCAAGUCGAGCGGACCGACGGGAGCUUGCUCCCUUAGGUCAGCGGCGGACGGUUGAGUAACACGUGGGUAACCUGCCUGUAAGACUGGGAUAACUCCGGGAAACCGGGGCUAAUACCGGAUGCUUGAUUGAACCGCAUGGUUCAAUUAUAAAAGGUGGCUUUUAGCUACCACUUACAGAUGGACCGGCGGCGCAUUAGCUAGUUGGUGAGGUAACGGCUCACCAUGGCAACGAUGCGUAGCCGACCUGAGAGGGUGAUCGGCCACACUGGGACUGAGACACGGCCCAGACUCCUACGGGAGGCAGCAGUAGGGAAUCUUCCGCAAUGCACGAAAGUCUGACGGAGCAACGCCGCGUGGAGUGAUGAAGGUUUUCGGAUCGUAAAACUCUGUUGUUAGGGAAGAACAAGUACCGUUCGGAAUAGGGCGGUACCUUGACGGUACCUAACGAGAAAGCCACGGCUAACUUCGUGCCAGCAGCCGCGGUAAUACGAAGGUGGCAAGCGUUGUCCGGAAUUAUUGGGCGUUAAGCGCGCGCAGGCGGUUUCUUAAGUCUGAUGUGAAAGCCCCCGGCUCAACC
rnacentral:rRNA from 1 species